rnacentral:rRNA from 1 species
UACGGGGGGAGCAAGCGUUGUUCGGAUUUACUGGGCGUAAAGGGCGCGUAGGCGGCGCAACAAGUCACUUGUGAAAUCUCCGGGCUUAACCCGGAGCGGCCAAGUGAUACUGUCGUGCUAGAGUGCGGAAGGGGCUACUGGAAUUCUCGGUGUAGCGGUGAAAUGCGUAGAUAUCGAGAGGAACACCUGCGGCGAAGGCGGGUAGCUGGGCCGACACUGACGCUGAGGCGCGAAAGCCAGGGGAGUGAACGGG